rnacentral:rRNA from 1 species
UAAGUAACGAUAAAGCGGGUGAAAAGCCCGCUCGCCGGAAGACCAAGGGUUCCUGUCCAACGUUAAUCGGGGCAGGGUGAGUCGACCCCUAAGGCGAGGCCGAAAGGCGUAGUCGAUGGGAAACGGGUUAAUAUUCCCGUACUUGGUGUUACUGCGAAGGGGGGACGGAGAAGGCUAUGUUGGCCGGGCGACGGUUGUCCCGGUUUAAGCGUGUAGGUGUGUGUUCCAGGUAAAUCCGGUUCACUUUAACACUGAGGCGUGACGACGAGGCACUACGGUGCUGAAGCAACAAAUGCCCUGCUUCCAGGAAAAGCCUCUAAGCAUCAGGUAACAUCAAAUCGUACCCCAAACCGACACAGGUGGUCAGGUAGAGAAUACCAAGGCGCUUGAGAGAACUCGGGUGAAGGAACUAGGCAAAAUGGUGCCGUAACUUCGGGAGAAGGCACGCUGACACGUAGGUGAAGUGAUUUACUCAUGGAGCUGAAGUCAGUCGAAGAUACCAGCUGGCUGCAACUGUUUAUUAAAAACACAGCACUGUGCAAACACGAAAGUGGACGUAUACGGUGUGACGCCUGCCCGGUGCCGGAAGGUUAAUUGAUGGGGUCAGCGCAAGCGAAGCUCCUGAUCGAAGCCCCGGUAAACGGCGGCCGUAACUAUAACGGUCCUAAGGUAGCGAAAUUCCUUGUCGGGUAAGUUCCGACCUGCACGAAUGGCGUAAUGAUGGCCAGGCUGUCUCCACCCGAGACUCAGUGAAAUUGAACUCGCUGUGAAGAUGCAGUGUACCCGCGGCAAGACGGAAAGACCCCGUGAACCUUUACUAUAGCUUGACACUGAACAUUGAGCCUUGAUGUGUAGGAUAGGUGGGAGGCUUUGAAGUGUGGACGCCAGUCUGCAUGGAGCCGACCUUGAAAUACCACCCUUUAAUGUUUGAUGUUCUAACGUGGACCCGUUACCCGGGUUGCGGACAGUGUCUGGUGGGUAGUUUGACUGGGGCGGUCUCCUCCUAAAGAGUAACGGAGGAGCACGAAGGUUGGCUAAUCCUGGUCGGACAUCAGGAGGUUAGUGCAAUGGCAUAAGCCAGCUUGACUGCGAGCGUGACGGCGCGAGCAGGUGCGAAAGCAGGUCAUAGUGAUCCGGUGGUUCUGAAUGGAAGGGCCAUCGCUCAACGGAUAAAAGGUACUCCGGGGAUAACAGGCUGAUACCGCCCAAGAGUUCAUAUCGACGGCGGUGUUUGGCACCUCGAUGUCGGCUCAUCACAUCCUGGGGCUGAAGUAGGUCCCAAGGGUAUGGCUGUUCGCCAUUUAAAGUGGUACGCGAGCUGGGUUUAGAACGUCGUGAGACAGUUCGGUCCCUAUCUGCCGUGGGCGCUGGAGAACUGAGGGGGGCUGCUCCUAGUACGAGAGGACCGGAGUGGACGCAUCACUGGUGUUCGGGUUGUCAUGCCAAUGGCACUGCCCGGUAGCUAAAUGCGGAAGAGAUAAGUGCUGAAAGCAUCUAAGCACGAAACUUGCCCCGAGAUGAGUUCUCCCUGAGACUUAGAGUCUCCUGAAGGAACGUUGAAGACGACGACGUUGAUAG